GACGAACGCUGGCGGCGUGCCUAAUACAUGCAAGUAGGACGCAGUUGCGAACGGGUGAGUAACGCGUAGGUAACUGCCUAUUAGAGGGGGGUAACUAUUGGAAACGAUAGCUAAUACCGCAUACUAGUAGAUGGACCUGCGUUGUAUUAGCUAGUAGGUAGGGUGAUGGCCUACCUAGGAGACGAUACAUAGCCGACCGUGGGGGGUGAUCGGCCACACUGGGACUUGGACACCGCCCAGAAUCCUACGGGAGGCAGCAGUAGGGAAUCUUCGGCAAUGGGGGGAACCCUGACCGAGCAACGCCGCGGGAGUGAAGAAGGGUUUCAGAUCUUAAAGCUCUGUUGUUAAGGAAGCGGUACUUAACCAGAAAGGGACGGCUAACUACGUGCCAGCAGCCGCGGUAAUUC
rnacentral:rRNA from 1 species